rnacentral:rRNA from 1 species
AGAGUUUGAUCCUGGCUCAGGACGAACGCUGGCGGCGUGCCUAAUACAUGCAAGUCGAACGGUCUUUUCUAUGGAAGCUUGCUUCCACUGAGAAGAUAGUGGCGAACGGGUGAGUAACACGUGGGUAACCUGCCCAUAAGAGGGGGAUAACAUCCGGGAAACGGGUGCUAAUACCCGCAUAGUUUUCYUUGAUCGCAUGAUCGAGAAARGGAAGACGGCCUUUGUGCUGUCGCUUAUGGAUGGACCCCCGGCGUAUUAGUUAGUUGGUGAGGUAAUGGCUCACCAAGACGAAGAUACGUAGCCGACCUGAGAGGGUGAUCGGCCACAUUGGGACUGAGACCCGGCCCCAACUCCUAC